GAAACAAGUUCUUUUUUAAAUUUCUCUUCAGCAAUUUGGAAUAUUUUGUGUAUGCCCAUUACAUGAAAUCCAAUUAAAAAUCCAUUGAAAAUUACAGGUUGUAAUGCAACAAAAUUGGAAGAACACCAAGGGGGAUGAAUACUUUUGCAAGGCACUGUACCUAGAGAGUUUGCAUCUAUAUUCUUUGUAGCUGUCUAUUUACCUACACAAACAGAUGCUGGCACAAGACCGUACUCACUGAGCUGUAUAAGGCCAUAAGCAAAGAGGAAAAUGCUCAUACAGAGGCGGAGCACCUAGUGGCCGGGGACUUUGAUUCAGGGAAACUUAAAUCCAGCAAGUUAAAUGUGCAACCAGAGGGGAGGAAAAUAAAAAAUACAAAUGUUUUUUUUUAACUAUAAAGCACCUUUAUUCCACAUACAGAGGCGAGUACAAAGCUUUCCCUCACCCUCCAUUUGGCAAAUCUGACCAUAAUUCUAUCCUCCUGAUUCCUGCUUACAAGCAAAAAUUUAAAGCACAAAGCACCAGGGACCCUGUCAAAAAAAAAAAUAGGGGUGAGAUGAAGCAGAUGCUAAACUACAGGACUGUUUUGCUAGCACAGAAUGGAAUAUGUUCAGGGAUUAUUCUGAUGGCAUUGAGGAAUACACCACAUCAGUCAUUGGCUUCAUCAAUAAGUGCAUCAAUGAUGUUGUCCCCACAGUGACUGUAAAUACAUACCCCAACCAGAAGACAUGGAUAACAGGCAACAUCCACACUGAGCUAAAGGGUAGAGCUGCUGCUUUCAAGGAGGGGGACCUUAACCCAGAAGCUUAUAACAAAUCCCGCUAUGCCCUCAGAUGACCCAUCAAUACAGGACUAAGAUCGAAUCGUACUACACCAGCUCUAAUGCUUCUCGGAUGUGACAGGGCUUGCAAACUAUAACAGACUUCAAAAAGGUAAGUACAGCCGAGAGCUGCCCAGUGACACAUGCCUACCAGAUGAGCUAAAUUAAUUAUAUGCUUGCUUCGA
ensembl:lncRNA